ensembl:misc_RNA Metazoa_SRP Metazoan signal recognition particle RNA
GCCGGGCAUGGUGGUACAUGCCUGUAGUCCCAACUACUCAGGAGGCUGAGAUAGGAGGAUUGCUUGAGCCCAGGAGAUUGAGGCUGCAGUGAGCCAUAAUUGUGCCACUGCACUCCAUCCUGGGCAACAGAGUAAGACCCUAUCUCAA